rnacentral:rRNA from 1 species
AUUGAACGCUGGCGGCAGGCCUAACACAUGCAAGUCGAACGGCAGCACAGAAGAGCUUGCUCUUUGGGUGGCGAGUGGCGGACGGGUGAGUGAUGUCUGGGAAACUGCCCGAUGGAGGGGGAUAACUACUGGAAACGGUAGCUAAUACCGCAUAACGUCGCAAGACCAAAGUGGGGGACCUUCGGGCCUCACACCAUCGGAUGUGCCCAGAUGGGAUUAGCUAGUAGGUGGGGUAAUGGCUCACCUAGGCGACGAUCCCUAGCUGGUCUGAGAGGAUGACCAGCCACACUGGAACUGAGACACGGUACAGACUCCUACGGGAGGCAGCAGUGGGGAAUAUUGCACAAUGGGCGCAAGCCUGAUGCAGCCAUGCCGCGCGUAUGAAGAAGGCCUUCGGGUUGUAAAGUACUUUCAGCGGGGAGGAAGGCGGUGAGGUUAAUAACCUCGCCGAUUGACGUUACCCGCAGAAGAAGCACCGGCUAACUCCGUGCCAGCCGCCGCGGUAA